rnacentral:rRNA from 1 species
AGAGUUUGAUCCUGGCUCAGGAUGAACGCUGGCGGCGUGCUUAACACAUGCAAGUCGAACGAUGACCUCCAGCUUGCUGGGGUGAUUAGUGGCGAACGGGUGAGUAACACGUGAGUAACCUGCCCUUAACUCUGGGAUAAGCCUGGGAAACUGGGUCUAAUACCGGAUAUGACUCCUCAUCGCAUGGUGGGGGGUGGAAAGCUUUUUUGUGGUUUUGGAUGGACUCGCGGCCUAUCAGCUUGUUGGUGAGGUAAUGGCUCACCAAGGCGACGACGGGUAGCCGGCCUGAGAGGGUGACCGGCCACACUGGGACUGAGACACGGCCCAGACUCCUACGGGAGGCAGCAGUGGGGAAUAUUGCACAAUGGGCGAAAGCCUGAUGCAGCGACGCCGCGUGAGGGAUGACGGCCUUCGGGUUGUAAACCUCUUUCAGUAGGGAAGAAGCGUAAGUGACGGUACCUGCAGAAGAAGCGCCGGCUAACUACGUGCCAGCAGCCGCGGUAAUAC